GAUGAACGCUGGCGGCGUGCCUAAUACAUGCAAGUAGAGCGCACGGACGAUAAGCUUGCUUCUCUGAUCUUAGCGUGGGACGUGCGAAUGACACGUGGAUGCCCUGCUUAUAUGACUGGGAUAAGUUGGGGAAACCGGGACUAAUAAGGUAAUAUAUUUUGAUACUAAUUGUUCAAAGGUAAAUGACUGAAUUGCUCACACUUAUAGAUGGCUCAUGGCUGCAUUAGGUAUUUGGUAAGGUAACGGCUUACGAAGGAAACGAUGCAUAGCCGACCUGCGAGGUGGACCGGCCACACUGGAACUGGAACACGGCCCAGACUCCUACGGGAGGCAGCAUUAGGGAACCUUCGGCAAUGGGCGAAAGCCUGACGGAGCAACGCGGCGGGAUUGAUGAAGGUCUUCGGAUCUUAAAACUCUGUUAUUAGGGAAGAACAUAUGUGUAAGUAACUGUGCACAUCUUGACGGUACCUAAUCAGAAAGCCACGGCUAACUACGUG
rnacentral:rRNA from 1 species